rnacentral:lncRNA from 1 species
GGAACAGCGCCGAGGUUGUUACCCUGCGGAGCCGGCCCAUUCCUGACCCGAGCGCCGAGCGCUGGGGGCGGCGCCCGGCGCGUGGAUCCUCUCAGCUCCUCUCCUCUUUGGCCGCUCGGAUUUCUGUCUAGGAGGAAGAAUGUGUCUUGUCAACUUGCCUGGCUGGAAGCAGAGCUGUGCACCCUCAUUGACAUUCCUGGAAGACUCCCUAUCAACAAAGGAGUAUCACAUCAUGUGCUUCUUGCUUGGAACAAGAGGAUCUCAUGCUUUGAUAAGAAUAUGUUUUGAAUACCCAAGGAGGGCCUCCUUUUGAAGGCUUACACUGCAUCCUCUCUCAAGAUUUGAGUUUACUCAGAAAAGAAAGUGGGGUUGCAAGCUACUCCUUAUUUGUGAUUUCUCAGCAUGACAUCCUUGGAAAAAACUUGAAUAGUUGAAGAAACCUGGUUAGUACUACAUUAAAAGAAAGAAGCUGAACACAGAUUGUGAGAAGAUGAUCAAGGUGUGAGAUUUUGAUGUCAAAUGAAAUCCACAUCCAGUAUUCUCAUUUGUAAAAUGGAGUAAGAAGAUAGUUAAAUGAGAUAAGGCACUUGCUUUCCCUAUAAUGCAAUAUAUGUUCUCCUAAAAAUGAAGGCAUUAUAGAAUUUCAUGCAAUAAAAAUUAUAUGAUUACAGGAAAAG